AACGCUAGCUACAGGCUUAACACAUGCAAGUCGAGGGGAAACGAUAUUGGAAGCUUGCUUCCGAUAGGCGUCGACCGGCGCACGGGUGAGUAACGCGUAUCCAACCUGCCCACCACUUGGGGAUAACCUUGCGAAAGUAAGACUAAUACCCAAUGACGUCUCUAGAAGACAUCUGAAAGAGAUUAAAGAUUUAUCGGUGAUGGAUGGGGAUGCGUCUGAUUAGCUUGUUGGCGGGGUAACGGCCCACCAAGGCAGCGAUCAGUAGGGGUUCUGAGAGGAAGGUCCCCCACAUUGGAACUGAGACACGGUCCAAACUCCUACGGGAGGCAGCAGUGAGGAAUAUUGGUCAAUGGACGAGAGUCUGAACCAGCCAAGUAGCGUGCAGGAUGACGGCCCUAUGGGUUGUAAACUGCUUUUAUAAGGGAAUAAAGUGAGUCUCGUGAGACUUUUUGCAUGUACCUUAUGAAUAAGGACCGGCUAAUUCCGUGCCAGCAGCCGCGGUAAUACGGAAGGUCCGGGCGUUAUCCGGAUUUAUCGGGUUUAAAGGGAGCGUAGGCCGGAGAUUAAGCGUGUUGUGAAAUGUAGAUGCUCAACAUCUGCACUGCAGCGCGAACUGGUUUCCUUGAGUACGCACAAAGUGGGCGGAAUUCGUGGUGUAGCGGUGAAAUGCUUAGAUAUCACGAAGAACUCCGAUUG
rnacentral:rRNA from 1 species